ACGGAACAGGUAUAUAAAAAUCCGCUGUGGCCGAUUGUAUCUGGUCGGAAGAAGAACCGUCUUACCCUUAUUAGACUUCUUCAUCAUUCCGAAAUAACAAUGGUGGAUUAUGAGGUGACCGUCUACACCGGCAAUCGAGUUCACGCCACCACUGUGAAUCCUGUGCACAUUAAACUGGUGGGCACAGAUGGCGAGAGUGACCGCACGUGGCUGAGGUCUUUGGUGAUAUUCAGAGGAGCGGUAACCACUUACACCGUUUCCUGCCCAAACUCCCUCGGACGUCUGCUUCUGAUCGAACUCGACAAGCGGCAAUUUUUUAUUUUGCCCGGCGACGCCUGGUUCCCCGACAAGGUGGAAAUCAAAUCACCCGAGAAUGACAUCUACACCUUUCCCAUCUACUGCUGGAUCAGUGACAGUGAGACUCACCGCUUCAGAGAAGGCAAAGCUCUGAGAAUCUUUGACGAAAGCCACCCUCUCGGCCAAUACGCAAGGGAGCAGGAGCUAAGUCGGCGAAAUGUUGACUAUGGCUGGGAUCUUUAUGCCCAAGGUUUGCCCUACUCCAUCAAGGCUGACGGUCCGAUGACCCUCCCGGAUGAGGUCCAGUUCUCCUUUACCAAGGCCACGGAGUUUGCAUUCACAGCGGCGACAGCGGUGGCUGAGCUUCAGCUAAAGGGUUUGACCGACAACCAGGAAAAUUGGACAAGUCUCGACGAUAUCAAUGACGUGUUCCGCAACAAAGACACACCCUUAUCAGAUUAUGUUCAGCAACACUGGAAGGAGGAUGAUUUUUUUGCCUACCAGUACCUAAACGGCCCCCAUCCCACCUUGAUUCGACGUUGUAAAACUCUGCCCGGCAACUUCCCCGUGACUGACGACAUGGUCUUCAUUCCCAAUGGCUCAAACUUGUCCAAUGAGUUGAAGCGAGGCAACAUAUACCUGUGUGACUACAAACACCUGGACGGACUGCAGGCAAACACGGUCCAAGGGAUUCAGCAGUACAUGAUGGCGCCCCUCGUCCUGUUUCACAAAAGGCCCGAUGAUAAGCUGAUGCCUAUUGCCAUUCAGCUCAAGCAGACUCCGGCUGAGGACAACCCCAUCUUCCUUCCAACUGACUCUACGUACGACUGGCUGACGGCUAAGAUUUUUGUGCGAAGUGCUGAUUUCACGGAGCACCAGCUCAACGCGCACUUGCUGCGCACUCACCUUUUGGCUGAGGUUUUUGCAGUGUCACUCUUGCGCAACCUGCCCAUGGUGCAUCCCCUGUACAAGCUCCUCGUACCCCACACUCGCUACACUCUGCAGAUCAACGAACAAGCUCGGGAUACACUCAUCGGACCCAAAGGAAGCUUCACUCUGUUUGCGGCUUCUGGGGGAGAGAGUGUGACGAAAAUAUUGGCAAGAUCACAAUCCUCGAUCACCUACAGAUCUCUCUGCAUCCAUGAGGACAUUGCUGAUCGCGACAUGCAGGACGUUCCAAAUUUCUACUACAGGGAUGAUGGACUCCAAAUUUGGAACAUCAUGUUUAAAUUUGUGCAGGGAGUGAUCAAGUACUACUACAAAAGUGACGACGACAUACAGCGAGACUCGGAACUGCAGACCUAUAUCGGGGACAUUUUCGAACACGGAUUCCUGUCCCAGCCACAAUCAGGUAUCCCUCAGAGUUUCACCACCGUGUCAGAGCUGAUCAAAUUCACGACCAUGGUGAUGUUUACGAGCUCGUGUCAGCAUGCAGCUGUAAACAGCGGACAGUUUGACUACGGUGGCUGGAUGCCCAACACCCCCCCGACCCUGCAGCGUCCUCCCCCAACCAAAAAGGGGACAACCAGCGAGGCCACAAUGUUGCAGACGUUGCCUGUUAUCAACGUGACCGUUCAGGGAAUGGCCGUCGUCUGGUUGCUCAGCAGGCAGUCCUCUGACUUUGUCCCCCUCGGACAUUACCCAGAAGACCAUUUCACAGAGGAGAUCCCCCGCCAGCUGCAAAAGGAUUACAAAGCCGAGCUUGACAAGUUGUCGACCACAAUCAACAACAGGAACAAAACGUUGGAGAUCCCUUACACUUACCUGGAUCCAAAGAACGUCGAGAACAGCGUGGCCAUCUAAGCGUCGGAAAUAUAUGAUGUGAUAUUAGCCAUCCAUCCAUGUUUUAGCACCGCUAGCACAUCGGACUGGCACUUAAAAUGGCGGCAGACGUGCCUGCCCCUCCCCCCCAUCUGUUAUUGCGCAACGCCGCUUGGUGAAGCGUCACUUUAGAUUGGUGGCGACGCCGGGUAGUAAAUCACAUCCAAACUGUCUGUCACUCAAAAACACGUUUUAUUUACAAUCGGCUCUGCGCUGAUUUUGAAUAUGGUGAACAUGCAUAUGACGUAACGUUAAAAAAAGAAAAAAAAAAUCAUCCAGUGCCCUUCAUCUUCAAAAGGGGAGUGUUGAGAAAGCACUUCAACAAUGUACAGUUUAGGCUGCGUGCACGGUGUUCAAUGACCCAAAAAAAAAAAAUUAAAAAAAGUCACACUAGCGAUUUGGCGUGAGAUUAUUUAGCACGAGUCAAUUUACGGUAUGUCUAAAGCACACGAUGAAAGGUUGUACAGUAUGGCAAUCGGUAUCACUCAAUGGACUGAUCACAUGACAUUGCAAUGGACAAAAAUAUGGCGCUUGGGGAAAUACACUGCAAAGCUCGGAGCUCUUUGCAUGAAACGCCGUGACCAGCGAGUAUGAGAAGAGCUGCACGGUUUCAGAGAAAAGCACAAUAAGACGAGAAUCAAAGUCACGGAUUUAAUUCUCAAGCAGUUAUGCGAGUUGGGGGGGCAAUGGGGGGCAAUUUUACCCGAAUAAAACUUGGUUGGGAAAAGUCAAUUUUACAACAAGGAAAGUGUCAACCUAUUGGGACAAAUAAACUGCGAUAAUACCGAAUAUGAUGCUAUUUCUAAUUCUACUUGGGCAAUGUUAACGUUUGUCACAAUAUUCCAAUUUUAUUCUCGUGACGUAAAGUUUUAUCUCUCAAAA